UACUUCACACUUGAACUUGUGAUUAUUCACUGUGACCUAAACCUGGUCUACUGUAUUUGUCUGUCCCAGCACAAGUGCCCCUUGUGAAAGAAGUUUACUCAUCAGUCUAAGCACUUAACUUGGAAGUCCUACUACCCUAGCACAAAAUGAAGCAAAAAUUAAAAGUGGCCUUUAAAACUUGGUAGGGUACUUAAUUUUUACAAAAAUAUCCCACUUAAUGCCAAAUCUUUUAGUCCUCAAAGGCAUUUAAGUCUAAUAGUCAUACCUUAAACAUGACUUAAAAUUAUGCCACCAAAGUGCUCCACUUUACAGCUUCACCAGACUGCAGCAUCAUAAAGUUAAUUUACAGUUUUUACAAUAUUGCUUGUACUGUCUUACUGGUUUACAUUAAAAUCCUUUAAGCCAAAAGGAAGCUUGCUGUAUGGAUUUAAAUGCAAACUUCAUUUACCGGUGCAGGAAGUCUCAUAAAACUCAGACGUACUCCCACAAAAAUUUUAUUGGCCUUUUUGUAAGAGAUGAAAAAAAGUUGACACAGUUCUCUUUAAACAAGGGAAAUUUUCUUUUUAUUAUUUUUAUCUCCAACAGCCAGUGUUGCCCUUUGCCACGGUCUCUAUAUUUUUCUUUCAGUUGGCUUUGAGAGGGGAUAUUAAGUCCAAUCACUAAACAGGGUUCUCUUUGGAUUAAAAGUUCUGGGUUUAUUGCAACUAUUUUUCUUGACAAAAAUUGUCAACAUCAGAAUUGGCAAGCAAAGGUGGAAUACUAAAAUGGUAUAAUUGGUCUUACUUAGUUUCUCCAUUUGCCAAACUUAUGGGAAAUUUACCUGUGAAUUUCAAAAUGUUACGAAAAUCUUUUGACAUGAUUUUGUUCUUUCUUUUAGUCAUUUUCUCUUCCAUUCCUAGUCCCUCUGCCCUCUGCAAAUGUGUUGAAUGGCACAGCUGUCAGAUGUGCUGAAGGUGAAGUUCUCUCACAGGUCUCUGUUCCAGCUCCGUAAAGGUCAUGUAGAGGUCACAGGAUCCACGAAGGAGCUGAGAAACAUGCCCUUCUGGCCCACCGUGUGGCGCAUUUUCAUUCAGUUUCCUCAUGAAACAUUGCAAGACUUUCGAAAGCUGCAGUUACAAAGCUGUUUGGCCGUAUUGACAGCAUGUGGUGUUUUUGCAAAAGCAAUUCUAGGAGAGCCAGUGUCUCCCAUGGACUCCUCACAUCCCCACUCCAGGGUCAUCAACAAAAUCAAAGUGAUAAUCUGGAUGCUGUAAUUUUUCAAAAGAUAAAAGGGGAUGGAAAUCAGACCUGGCCAUUAGUCACUAGUGUGUAGUACUGUGAUCUGAAGUAGGAAGUUUAACUCACAUAGAAUAAUUGUGGUUUUUGAAGCAGCUACUCAUUGCUUUUUCCUUUUGCUAUAAAGAUCAUGGAUUUGGAAUAUCCUCAUGAGGUGGCCCUAAGACAGUAGCAUUUAAACUUCAUGUCUUAGAAUCUACCCUCCACCUGAACCCAAAGAUCAAAAGGCAGUAAGCUUCAUCAUUAGGCUUAAGCUUAAAAAUUUCCUUCCCCGUCCCGAAUACUGAGUUCAGCAGGGGGUAUAUCUUUCUUUCCAAAAUGUUAUAUCUUCGAAUUAUAGACUACAUCACUAAGUUUGGUAAUGUAUUCUUUGCAUGAAUGGAAAUACGUGUCAAAAGACUCCUACAAAAGGCAUGAUUUCAGUGAAAAUGCCCUUUUGCCCCCAAAUUUGCCGACCCUCGAAUAGUGUUCAACUGUUUUCAAGCCUUAUUUGCACACAAAUUCCAAAAUGGGGCAAGUUGUACCAUUCCCUUAAAAUUUAAUAGCUGUGGUAGGUAGAGAUUUAACUGUGGUUCUAGUGAAUCAUAAAAAGAGAUAAUAUUUGAGAAGAGUUUGUAAGCCAAAUAUCAUGCCUUCUGACCCCAUUUCUGAGACACAGAUAUUACAAUCAGAAAUAGAUCUAAUAAAUCUAGUAUCCCUCCAUGAGCAAGCUCUGAUUAUGCCAAUAGGGAGAUCACCUUGUACCAGGAGGCAGCAACCUAAGCCUCAUCAGAGGGUAACUGAAAACUUCCCAUCAGAAGCACCCUCCAAGGCUUAGCCUAAAUUGUGUAAGCUGCUCCCAUUCAAAGCUUCUCUAUGAGAAGGUGGGAAAACACCAGACUGUGGGAAUUUUAUGUUCAGGAAGACAAUUUUCUCCUUUUCCAAAUCAGAAUGAAGACUUAGAAUUUCCCAUUCUUUAUAGGUUUAUCUGAUUGCUAAAUGCACUGCAGUAAGCCUCGACCUAGAAAUAUCGCAAACACAAGCAUUCAGAGGAACACUGGCUUAUUCUCCUGAACCAAACUCAAAAAACAUGAGUCGUUGUUUACCUCCACUUCUGUAUGAGAACUGAAAAACAUUUCAUUUUGUUCUGUUUAUUUUGGGAAGGUGUGUGGGGGGCGUUCUUUCAAGUGAUUCAUAUCUCAAAUCCAUACCACUCUCAACUUUUAUUUGAUGUGUUCAAAGCCAAAAAAAAAAAAAAAAAAAAAGCAGGGCUGAACACUUAAUUUGACAUGAAGCUGAAGGAAUCCGCAAGGCAGAAGAGAGCUUUUGAAGAAAGCAUGGCCUUGGCUUCAUACCACACUUUUUGUGCCUUGUAUUAUCAGUGUAAAUUCUGAAUGUUGUACAGUAAAUACUUGGAUGGACUUCUUAGAAAAGGCUGCACUGGCUUCUUUUUCAGCACAUGUACAUAUCUAUAAAUAUAUAUACAUAUAUAUUUGGUAAUGCCAAACAGCUGUGUUAUAUUGUAUUGAACAAAAUGGACGGUUUGGAUGUUUUAUGUAGAGUUUGCAUAAAAACUGGAUGGUUACAGACUUUUCAAGAUAAAUGUACAGACGUAAAUUACUGCUUAUCAGUUAUUUAUGAAUAAAGAGUCUUUUAUUGACAUUUUAGGAUA